GAUGAACGCUGGCGGCGUGCUUAACACAUGCAAGUUGAACGAAGUGGCGGAUGGGCGAGUAACACGUGAGGAACCUGCCUUUCACAGGGGAAUAACACUGGGAAACCAGUGCUAAUACCGCAUAGUGAACGAUGGCCUCGCGCCUGAUCAGCUAGUAGGGGAGGUAACGGCUCACCUAGGUGAUGGUCAGUAGCCGUCGUGAAUGUUGAGCGGCCGCAUUGGGACUGAGACACGGCCGAGGCUCCUACGGGAGGCAGAAGGGAGGAAUAUUGGGCAAUGGCGCAAGCCUGACCCAGCACCGCCGCGUGAAGGAAGUCGGUCUUCGGAUUGAAAACUUCUUUGGAAGAGACGCGGUACCUGUAGAAUAAGCCACGGCUAACUACGUGCCAGCAGCCGCGGUAAUAC
rnacentral:rRNA from 1 species